rnacentral:rRNA from 1 species
GGGGAAUAUUGCGCAAUGGGGGAAACCCUGACGCGGCAAAACCGGGUGAGGGAGGAAGGUUUUGGGAUGGAAAAGCACUGUAAUGGGGGAGAAAAAAAGACGGGUACCAAAGAAAAAGGCCCGGGUUACCUCCGGGCCAGCAGCCGCGGUAAUACGUAGGGGACAAGCGUUGUCCGGAUUUACUGGGCGUAAAGGGCACGCAGGCGGUUUUUUAAGUCAGAUGUGAAAGGGUACCGGCUCAACCGGUGACAUGCAUUUGAAACUGAAAGACUUGAGUAUUGGAGAGGCAAGUGGAAUUCCUAGUGUAGCGGUGAAAUGCGUAGAUAUUAGGAGGAACACCGGUGGCGAAGGCGGCUUGCUGGACAAAUACUGACGCUGAGGUGCGAAAGCGUGGGGAGCAAACA